rnacentral:rRNA from 1 species
UACGGGGGGGGCAAGCGUUGUUCGGAAUUACUGGGCGUAAAGGGCUCGUAGGCGGCCAACUAAGUCAGACGUGAAAUCCCCCGGCUUAACCAGGGAACUGCGUCUGAUACUGGAUGGCUUGAGUUUGGGAGAGGGAUGCGGAAUUCCAGGUGUAGCGGUGAAAUGCGUAGAUAGUCUGGAGGAACACCGGUGGCGAAGGCGACAUCCUGGACCAACACUGACGCUGAGUGAGCGAA